GAAAAAACCUUACCUGGGCCUUGACAUGCCACUAACGAAAGCAGAGAUGCAUUAGGUGCUCGAAAGAGAAAGUGGACACAGGUGCUGCAUGGCUGUCGUCAGCUCGUGUCGUGAGAUGUUGGGUUAAGUCCCGCAACGAGCGCAACCCUUGUCGUUAAUUGCCAUCAUUUAGUUGGGCACUUUAACGAGACUGCCGGUGACAAACCGGAGGAAGGUGGGGAUGACGUCAAGUCCUCAUGGCCCUUAUGGCCAGGGCUUCACACGUAAUACAAUGGUCGGUACAGAGGGUUGCCAACCCGCGAGGGGGAGCCAAUCCCAGAAAGCCGAUCGUAGUCCGGAUUGCAGUCUGCAACUCGACUGCAUGAAGUCGGAAUCGCUAGUAAUCGCGGAUCAGCAUGUCGCGGUGAAUACGUUCCCGGGCCUUGUACACACCGCCCGUCACACCAUGGGAGUGGGUUUCACCAGAAGUAGGUAGUCUAACCGCAAGGGGGACGCUUACCACGGUGGGAUUCAUGACUGGGGUGAAGUCGUAACAAGGUAA
rnacentral:rRNA from 1 species